CUUGGUGAUGCCCUAGAAAUUGUGAAAUUUGCCUGUUGUUUUGGAAAAUGCUCUGAAAUUGUUUCCUUUCCCAUUUUCUGUCUUCUCUUUCUGGAUGCUGAGCAAUCGAGGCAAGACUAAUGUGCAAGGAUGUGCAAAGACAGCAUUCAAAAUAUUAAUUGGGCACCUGACAAUCACUGACUACUGAGGAGAAGGAGAAAUCUUGUCUCUACUGGAAUAUGUUUACUCAGAAGCAGAGUGGACCACAUAAAGGAAAGGAAGUUACCAAGUGAAUGAAGAAUGAGGAUGGGUGAAGAUAACUAAGAUGCAAGAGGAAAGCAGACAGCACUAUUGAGUCAUUAUUAAGUGGAAGCUGGGAAGAAGAGUCAAUGUGAAUUAUAUCAUCUAUGAUGUGGGAAGAAAA